CACGUAGGGCGCAAGCGUUGUCCGGAAUUAUUGGGCGUAAAGAGCUCGUAGGCGGUCUGUUGCGUCUGCUGUGAAAACUCGGGGCUUAACCCCGAGCCUGCAGUGGAUACGGGCAGACUAGAGGUAGGUAGGGGAGAAUGGAAUUCCCGGUGUAGCGGUGAAAUGCGCAGAUAUCGUAAGGAAGACCAGUGGCAAAGGCGGGUCUCUGGACAGUUCCUGACGCUGAGGCACGAAGGCCAGGGGAGCAAACGGG
rnacentral:rRNA from 1 species